AUUAUAUUGAGAUGAUUAUGCCAAUAUGCCGUGAACAAGUUUUAUUAGAGAUUUCUCCAAAAAAAAAAGAAAAAGCAAGAGACGCCAGAAGCCCAGAAUCCCAGAGAUUCAAUGGAGAAGAAGAACCGCCGCCGCCGCCGAUCUGGAGGAAGGAACCGCCGCCGCGAGCACCAAGAAGAAGUGGUCUCCGGAUCGCAGAGAACGCGGGCGGCCUUUCGAAUCUGGUUUUCAGAAACAGAAUAAAGGUUUGAUCGAUUUGGGUCUGUGCUGCCAUAUUUUGGUUCCACGUUUCAGGUUGGAGUCUCAACUUCCACAAGUGUGAUCCAGAAGAAUACGGUUCAUGUGACAUUGUGACUCAGGCUGUACAGGUACGGUUCGUGACUCAGGCUGUACUGGUGGACUAAGUCAAGGCUGGUGGUUUGGAGCAAGAGAAGGACUACCCUUAAAAACAGUGGGACUGAUCGUGGUACCUGCAAAUUUGACAAGAGUAAAGAUGUUGCUACUGUAUCCAACUUCAGCAUUCUUUCCCUUGACGAAGAUCAAAUUGCUGCAAAUUUGGUCCACAAUGUACUUUUGCCAUUGAAAUAUAGGUUUGGAUCGUUUCCUUCAAGUCUCAGAAUAAUGAACUACCAAGAGAGUUGUGUACUCUAGACCAUAUGUAAACCAUGUUUGCUGCAAUAUAAGUUUCUUUUGUUCCAAAAUCCCUGUUAUGUGCUUUUA